CAUUCAUGUUACAUGAUGUUUUCCCCUCGUGGCUACCGCGUCUCACCCGCUGUUAAAACAUCUUGUAGGGGAGAGGAGAUGACUUGAUUUCAGACAGGUGUGCUGGUUGCAGAUGACGGACAGCAUCUAGUGGCCACGAGAGGAACUGCACGGUGAAGCUGAGCUGGAGUCAGACGGCUUUCUGUCAUGUGAUGUGAACAUCAAUACAAAACACACAAGAAGCCCAAAGACUGAGUGCAGUGUUUAUUCUUUAUUGUUGGA